UGGCGAACGGGUGAGUAAUAUAUCGGAACAUGCCCAGUCGUGGGGGAUAACGUAGAGAAAUUUACGCUAAUACCGCAUACGAUCUAAGGAUGAAAGCGGGGGACUUCGCAAGAGGCCUCGCGCGAUUGGAGCGGCUGAUAUCAGAUUAGGUUGUUGGUGAGGUAAAAGCUCACCAAGCCGACGAUCUGUAGCUGGUUUGAGAGAACGACCAGCCACACUGGGACUGAGACACGGCCCAGACUCCUACGGGAGGCAGCAGUGGGGAAUUUUGGACAAUGGGCGAAAGCCUGAUCCAGCAAUGCCGCGUGCAGGAAGAAGGCCUUCGGGUUGUAAACCUCUUUUAGUAGGGAAGAAGCGAAAGUGACGGUACCUGCAGAAAAAGCACCGGCUAACUACGUGCCAGCAGCCGCGGUAAUACGUAGGGUGCAAGCGUUGUCCGGAAUUAUUGGGCGUAAAGAGCUCGUAGGCGGUUUGUCGCGUCUGCUGUGAAAUCCGGAGGCUCAACCUCCGGCCUGCAGUGGGUAC
rnacentral:rRNA from 1 species